UACCUUCCUAAAUCUAUCUAAUAAAGUCCAGCACGUAAUUUGAAGUUGAUUCUUGUACAUUUGUGUAUGUUAUCUACAUUUUCGAUUUCACGGACCGAAGCGGGUAUUGAAGCCACUUUUAUUUAUAUUUUGCAAAGGAACAAUUUUUGACAAAAUCAUGGGUGACAAUGAGAGGGAGCAGGCAUGCCUAGAAAAGAUGAUGCAAGAAUUUAUGAUGGAGGAGAAUGGGGACAGCGUUAUCUAUGAUGAUAGACAAUCGUCUGAAAAGGAAGAUUUAGUGAAAACGAGAGAAAUGGAUACCGAUACUGAACAGGAAGUUUCCGAUAGUGCUGAUGGUGAAAACGAAAGUGAUGAUGGUGAAGAAGAAAAUAAAUGUUUCAUUAUGUAUGAAGAGAUAAGAUAACAAAGAAGAGAAAAAAUGUACCACCAAAAACUGUACGAACCAUAUCUGAAAAUAAAGUUACUCGCCUACCACAAGAUUACCUACAAGAUCACUCAAGGAACCAUUAGAAAUUUGGAAAUAUUUUGUAAAUGAGCAAAUGUUGUUAUUGAUAGUAUAUGUUGGGAUUACUUAGUUUGAAUAGGUUACUGGGAGACCAAUUUGCAGUAUAUAUCAAUAAACCAC